CCUGCCGAUGACUCGGGAUAGCCUUUCGAAGAAAGAUUAAUACCCGAUGGCAUAGUUCUUCCGCAUGGUAGAACUAUUAAAGAAUUUCGGUCAUCGAUGGGAUGCGUUCCAUUAGGUUGUUGCGGGGUAACGGCCCACCAAGCCUUCGAUGGAUAGGGUUCUGAGAGGAAGGUCCCCCACAUUGGAACUGAGACACGGUCCAAACUCCUACGGGAGGCAGCAUG
rnacentral:rRNA from 1 species